rnacentral:rRNA from 1 species
UAGUCCACGCCGUAAACGAUGAAUGCUAGGUGUCGGGGGUCGAACCUCGGUGCCGCAGUUAACGCAAUAAACAUUCCACCUGGGGAGUACGACCGCAAGGCUGAAACUCAAAGGAAUUGUCGGGGGCCCGCACAAGCGGUGGAGCAUGUGGUUUAAUUCGAAGCAACGCGAAGAACCUUACCAAAUCUUGACAUCCCAUUGACCGGCAUUUAAUUUUGCCUUUUCUUCGGAACAAUGGUGACAGGUGGUGCAUGGUUGUCGUCAGCUCGUGUCGUGAGAUGUUGGGUUAAGUCCCGCAACGAGCGCAACCCUUAUCUUUAGUAGCCAGCAUUUCGGAUGGGAACUCUAGAGAGACUGCCAGGGAUAACCUGGAGGAAGGUGGGGAUGACGUCAAAUCAUCAUGCCCCUUAUGAUUUGGGCUACACACGUGCUACAAUGGUAGAUACAAAGGGAAGCCAAAGAGUGAUCUGGAGCAAACCCCAUAAAGUCUAUCCCAGUUCGGAUUGUAGUCUGCAA